rnacentral:misc_RNA from 1 species
UCUCCGUAGGUGAACCUGCGGAGGGAUCAUUACCGAUUGAGGGUCCUUGUGGCCCGACCGCCAACCCUUUGUGAAUCUUACUCGUUGCUUCGGGGGCGACCCUGCCGUCCGCGGCUGAGCGCCCCCGGGGUCAAUCAAACACUGCCUUCUCUGCGUCGGAGUAUUAGUAAAUCUAAUCAAAACUUUCAACAACGGAUCUCUUGGUUCUGGCAUCGAUGAAGAACGCAGC